rnacentral:misc_RNA from 1 species
CCCAACUAUCCCUAUUAAUCAUUACGGUGAUCCUAGAAACCAACAAAAUAGAACCAUCCGUCCUAUUUUAUUAUUCCAUGCUAAUGUAUUCAAGCAAAAUGCCUGCUUUAAACACUCUAAUUUUUUCAAAGUAAAGGUCCUGGUUCCUCGCGGCACCCAAUUAAGGACAUCGCGGUUCUCCAGAAGGUGAGAAACUGACUACACCAGUUCAUACCCCUUAAGGCACGACCGAUGUGUCAAUCCCGAAAUUCAACUACGAGCUUUUUAACUGCAACAACUUUAAUAUACGCUAUUGGAGCUGGAAUUACCGCGGCUGCUGGCACCAGACUUGCCCUCCAA